ensembl:lncRNA
AUGCGCAAUGAUCCAAGUUUCUCCCUUACAACAAUACAGAAAGAAUCUCGCAGACCAAACAAACCUGCAUUUCCUAGAGCUGUCAUGACUCACAAGACACAAGAGGUUCACAAAGUCAGUGAGGACGAGCCUGUGGAAUCGGAAGUUUCCUCAGCUUGUACAGAGGUAUGUGGAGGCAAUCAACUCCCACGCUCAUGCUCCAAGGUAUGUCUUGUGAAAGUAUUUCCUGAAGACCAACCAGAAAAAGCAGUCAAAACAUAUGUGAUACUAGACGAUCAAAGCAACAGAUCGCUUGCAAGAUCAGAAUUCUUCAAUCUGUUUGGUAUUACAGAGUGCAAUGUAGCCUAUACUCUCAAAACAUGUGCAGGCACGGUUGAAACGGAAGACAGGCUACCACGAGGCUUUCAAGUGGAAUCCCUUGAUGGAAGCAUAGUCUUACCCUUACCAGUGCUUCUUGAGUGCAACGAGAUUCCAGACAAACGCUCAGAAAUUCCCACUCUAGAAAUUAUUAGUAAGCAUAGACACUUAAAACAUAUUGUGAAGUACAUUCCAGAGCCUGAUCAUCAUGCUCCUAUUCUUCUUCUGUUAGGCAGGGACAUCAUCAGAGUUCACAAAGCCCACAAGCAAGUGAAUGGUCCAUCGGAUGCCCCUUUUGCGCAUAAAUCAGAUUUAGGAUGGGUAGUUGUUGGGGAUAUGUGCCUUGGGAAGGUUCAUAAACCUACCUUCGUUGGAGCUUACCGCACCAGCAUUCUGGAGAAUGGUCAACGUACAUACUUCCAACCAUGUCCCAACUAUUAUCACGUGAAAGAGAGAUCUCAGUAUGUAUCAUGCAUUAGAUCUCUUAUUAGGGAGAGCACACCAAAAUUAACAGAAUGGGACAUAUUCCAAACAACUAAAGAUGAUGAGGAAAGAGCUUUCUCUAUCGAAGACCAGCUUUUCCUGCAGAUUAUGGAUAGAGACGUUAACAAAGACGAAGAAAAUUCAUGGGUUGCUCCACUUCCAUUCAAGCAGCCAAGACGAUAUCUCCCAAAUAAUUGUUCACAAGCUGUAGAACGCCUUAAUUCACUUCUACGAGCUUUCAGUAGGAAGCCAGAGAUGAAGGAAGACUUCAUAGGCUUUAUGGAAAAGCUAUUUCAGAAUGAUCAUGCGGAAAUUGCCCCUGCAAUCAGUCCCAGUGAACAGUGUUGGUAUUUACCUUCAUUUGGCGUAUACCAUCCUAAAAAACCAUCCCAGAUCCGAGUAGUCUUCGAUUCGAGUGCUCCAUGCAAAGGUAUAUCACUCAACCAGGUUCUCUUGUCGGGUCCUGAUCUCAAUAACAAUCUCCUCUGA